CAGCCGCCACGGUAAUACGUAGGGCGCAAGCGUUAUCCGGAAUUAUUGGGCGUAAAGAGCUCGUAGGCGGUUUGUCGCGUCUGCCGUGAAAGUCCGGGGCUCAACCCCGGAUCUGCGGUGGGUACGGGCAGACUAGAGUGAUGUAGGGGAGACUGGAAUUCCUGGUGUAGCGGUGAAAUGCGCAGAUAUCAGAAGGAACACCGAUGGCGAAGGCAGGUCUCUGGGCAUUAACUGACGCUGAGGAGCGAAAGCAUGGGGAGCGAACAGGAUUAGAUACCCGCGUAGUCCCUGUCUCUUAUAC
rnacentral:rRNA from 1 species